AAAAGACUCACUUCACGGAGUGACUCUGACAGCCUGUCAGUGUUGGUAGGACUGUGCGGCCUGCCAGUGAGUUCAGGGAAAACACCUGACCCGUGCUUGCCCAAUUACUGAUAAAUAAGCAGCUUGUGCACUUCCUAUGAGAAAGAGAGAAUGAGAAAGGUUUUCUUAAUGUGAGAGACAUAGGGUAUAUUUCCAUAACCAACUGUAUGGAAAAGUUUUUCUGACAUUCAACACAAGUUCCUAGAUUUGGGAUGUCCAAAAGCUUGAUGUCUGCAUUUGGAAAUGCCACUAUUGUUCUGGUUCUUAGGUGGUGGAUAUUUUCUAAAACUGUAUUGGCUUCUGCAGAUUCUUAACAUAUACUGUCCACUUCUGCCUUACCUUAGGUCUUGCUGGCUAAAGAACAUGCCCUGUAGUACACUCCAGAAGAAUGGGAAGGACAUGGGCACGGUAAACAAUCAUGCAGGGGGCCUUCAAACUUCCAAUAAAAAUUUUUGUGUUUAUGGCACUGUGGAAAUAACAAGUCAGAUGAUGUCUGAUAUCUGGGAACAAUUUGUCAAUUAUGAGCCAGUGGUUGAUGUUUCCUAAAAACCAUAGAACCUCUGGACAGAUUAAUGCACCCUACUCAGUAAGUUCCACAUGAAAUUCAUCUGCUUACACGGGGUGGGAUG
rnacentral:lncRNA from 1 species